CCGGACUAACUUGUUCACUUCCUCCGCAGGGGAAACAGGCAAAUUACUGCUUGCUAGUAUGCAUACAUGUUUGCAGACAAUUGGUUGUUGUUGUUGUUCGUGACAUACAGCACAACACGUAGCCUGCAGAGGUUCACAAACUUGUUGGGUCCAGUUAUUCCUUUAGUUUAUUACAUUUUCAUCUGAAGUUUUGUGUCGACAAGCAUGGUUGCUCAGCCUGUUGUCAACGAUGAGCUCAUCCAAUCCUCUGACGGGAGGUGACAUGACUGAGACAAACAAAGCCGAACUCUCAGCAUUAAAAAUUCUUGGCAAAGUGCAGUGACUCAGAUGUGAAGUAAUACGCUCCAGGCAGACUGCAGCUCCAGAUUAGAGUCUGUUCAUGUGAUUAAUUCAUCACAGUACACCGGGUCAACAGAGUUUCCACAAUAAGGCUUGAAAGCAGCCAACCUUCUGCUGGUCUGACAUCAUAGGUUAAAGGUUAAGCCUGACUCUCAAGCGCCAUCACCAUGGGAACCAAUGCUGUUACAUGAUGGUGUGACCUCAUCCCGCCAGCCGAACUGGCACCUGAGGGUUACUUGGAAUUCAGCUCAGAGAAAAGUAUGUACGUGCCCCUGAUGUGAAGACUAAUUUGCAACACCAGCGCAAACCAUGUAACCACCAACCACUAACGCAACAAUUGGUACUGUUUGAUGUCUUAAUCUUUUCAAAUUUCAAUAAACCAAUUAAAUAAAAGGAAGUAUUCAUCUCAGUGUAGUAUAAUUUUGCUGCACAGCCAAGAAAGAACAUAGUCAUUUGAUAUUCAUUGAGUGUUGAUGCGUUACUGGAAGAAGAACUAACAAAACUGUGAAGACAACAAAUGAUUCUGUCUCACGCCGAGAGCUGCAAUUUGCAUUUUAUUGUUGUAUUAUUUUUUUUCCCAUGAUCAAAGUACUUUAUAGUGUUAAAAGAUGUGAGGAUCAUUCAUCAAAUUUAGUCUGUAUACAAAGAAGCGAGAGAAAAUACAUUUGUACCUCUUUCAGAAGAAAAUAAAACAUCAAGCAAUCGA